rnacentral:rRNA from 1 species
UACGUAGGGGGCAAGCGUUGUCCGGAAUCAUUGGGCGUAAAGAGCGUGUAGGCGGCUCGGUAAGUCCGCUCUGAAAGCCCGGGGGCUCAACCCCGGGAGGCGGGCGGAUACUGUCGGGCUAGAGUCCGGAAGAGGCGAGUGGAAUUCCGUGGUGUAGCGGUGAAAUGCGCAGAUAUCAGGAGGAACACCAAUGGCGAAGGCAGCUCGCUGGGACG